GACGAACGCUGGCGGCGUGCCUAAUGCAUGCAAGUCGCACGCAGAGUGCUUGCACUCUGAGUGGCGCACGGCUGAGGAACACGUGGGAAUCUGCCCGACCGUGGGGGAUAACGCGCCGAA
rnacentral:rRNA from 1 species